GGUUCCAUAGUGUAGCGGUUAUCACGUCUGCUUUACACGCAGAAGGUCCUGGGUUCGAGCCCUAGUGGAACCA
rnacentral:tRNA from 1 species